UACAGAGGGGGCAAGCGUUGUUCGGAAUUACUGGGCGUAAAGGGCGCGUAGGCGGCCUGUUAAGUCGAACGUGAAAUCCCCGGGCUCAACCCGGGAACUGCGUCCGAUACUGGCAGGCUUGAAUCCGGGAGAGGGAUGUGGAAUUCCAGGUGUAGCGGUGAAAUGCGCAGAUAUCAGGAGGAACACCGGUGGCGAAGGCGGAUCUCUGGGCCGAUACUGACGCUGAGGAGCGAAAGCGUGGGGAGCGAACAGG
rnacentral:rRNA from 1 species